GUUGCAAGGCUCCUCCUCCAUCUCCAUGGCUCCAAUCCAAGCAAAGCCUGCCGUGCCGCGCCAUCUGCCCGUCACAGCCGUCGUACUCGACUCUAGCGAGGCGGCCACGGCCAAGCCAUCGGUGCGCGAGCACGGAAAUGCCUUUUUUUUUAUUAUUCCUUCAAUCCUACGAGUACGCGUAUGUAUAAUACUGAUCCUAUUGCCACGGAGGGUUACGGUUAUGCGGAGGCAAUUUCGUUUUUUGGCUGGUGCGUGUGUGAGCACUGACUCUCUGAGCUCUGAGCAAGGCAACGACGUUGAGGCCUGAGGGCUUCUAGAGGGCUCGAUGCAUGCCUAUGCUGCUUUGACGUAUUUGCCCUCCUGUGCGUGGGGGGUGCUCCUGGGUCGGUUUUGCUUGCUCCUCCUGAUCCCUUCCUG
rnacentral:lncRNA from 1 species